rnacentral:rRNA from 1 species
GGUAUAGACCCGAAACCCGGUGAUCUAGCCAUGGGCAGGUUGAAGGUUGGGUAACACUAACUGGAGGACCGAACCGACUAAUGUUGAAAAAUUAGCGGAUGACUUGUGGCUGGGGGUGAAAGGCCAAUCAAACCGGGAGAUAGCUGGUUCUCCCCGAAAGCUAUUUAGGUAGCGCCUCGUGAACUCAUCUUCGGGGGUAGAGCACUGUUUCGGCUAGGGGGUCAUCCCGACUUACCAACCCGAUGCAAACUACGAAUACCGAAGAAUGUUAUCACGGGAGACACACGGCGGGUGCUAACGUCCGUCGUGAAGAGGGAAACAACCCAGACCGCCAGCUAAGGUCCCAAAGUCAUGGUUAAGUGGGAAACGAUGUGGGAAGGCACAGACAGCCAGGAUGUUGGCUUAGAAGCAGCCAUCAUUUAAAGAAAGCGUAAUAGCUCACUGGUCGAGUCGGCCUGCGCGGAAGAUGUAACGGGGCUAAACCAUGCACCGAAGCUGCGGCAGCGACACUAUGUGUUGUUGGGUAGGGGAGCGUUCUGUAAGCC